ACUUUACGCUUCUCCUUUUUCCCUUCACUCUUGCAUCUAAUUACUGAACCGACGGGAGUUUCACAAAAGACUCCAAAAGUCACUAUUCAAAUUAAAGCCCUAAUUAACUGCCAGGAAGAAAAAAAUGCCUUCUCCCAUAAACUUCUCUCUGGAUUGAAACAACUUACACGAGUUUCUCUGCAAUGCUCUAUACUUCCAAUGGAAACAGUUUUGAAUAAUGGACAAGAAGAAGUAUCUGAUUGGAUCGUAGCAUUACACAUUCUAUGAUGAGGUACGGCAAGGAACGAGUGCCUAAGUUCAUUGCGCUCUUUGUAUCCUCUGAAUGAGAUUGUUGUCAAAACGGGGCUUCGAGCGCGAUAGUUGCAAUUUGGUAAUAUUUCUCAAUUUCUUUUUCCUUAUUUUGUAAACUGCUUUAUCUAGAAGGUUAAGUUUUUUGUUAGAAAAGGGACAUACAUUUAUUUAUUUGAUAUAUGCAAGUAAAACUCUACGUGUUUGUGUA